rnacentral:rRNA from 1 species
GAAUCCCGUCUUUGGCAUGGAUGACCGGGGCUUUUGUGAUGCGCUCUCGAAGAGUCGAGUUGUUUGGGAAUGCAGCUCAAAAUGGGUGGUGAACUCCAUCUAAAGCUAAAUAUUGGCGAGAGACCGAUAGCGAACAAGUACCGUGAGGGAAAGAUGAAAAGCACUUUGGAAAGAGAGUGAAACAGUACGUGAAAUUGUUGAAAGGGAAACGCUUGAAGUCAGUCGCGUCGGCCGAGACUCAGCCUUGCCUCGGCUUGGUGUACUUCUUGACCGACGGGUCAGCAUCAAUUUUGCCCCUUGGAUAAUGGCGAGGGAAAUGUGACACCUUUAUAGGUGUGUUAUAGUCUCUCGUCGCAUGCAAGGGUCGGGAUUGAGGAACUCAGCACGCGCCUUCGGGCGUCGGGGCCUUGCCCACGAUACGUGCUUAGGAUGUUGGCGUAAUGGCUUUAAACGACCCGUCUUGAAACACGGACCAAGGAGUCUAACAUGCCCGCGAGUGUUCGGGUGGAAAACCCGUGCGCGCAAUGAAAGUGAAAGUUGGGACCUCUGUCGCGGAGGGCACCGACGCCCGGACCAGACCUUUUGCGACGGAUCUGCGGUAGAGCAUGCAUGUUGGGACCCGAAAGAUGGUGAACUAUGCCUGAAUAGGGUGAAGCCAGAGGAAACUCUGGUGGAGGCUCGUAGCGAUUCUGACGUGCAAAUCGAUCGUCAAAUUUGGGUAUAGGGGCGAAAGACUAAUCGAACCAUCUAGUAGCUGGUUCCUGCC